GCCCUGAUGGUCUAGUGGUUAAGAUUUGGCACUCUCAUUGCCAUGGCCUGGGUUCCUUUCCCGGUCAGGGAA
rnacentral:tRNA from 1 species